rnacentral:rRNA from 1 species
UACGUAGGUGACCAGCGUUGUCCGGAUUUACUGGGCGUAAAGAGCGCGCAGGCGGUCGUUCAAGUCGAGUGUGAAAGCCCCCGGCUCCAACUGGGGAGGGUCACUCGAUACUGAUCGACUUGAAGGCAGGAGAGGGAAGCGGAAUUCCCGGUGUAGUGGUGAAAGUGCGUAGAUAUCGGGAGGAACACCAGUGGCGAAGGCGGCUCCUGGC